rnacentral:rRNA from 1 species
AGCGGCGGACGGGUGAGUAACACGUAGGUAACCUGCCCAUAAGACUGGGAUAACUACCGGAAACGGUAGCUAAUACCGGAUAGGUUCUUCUCUCGCAUGGGAGGRGAAAGAAAGACGGAGCAAUCUGUCACUUAUGGAUGGACCUGCGGCGCAUUAGCUAGUUGGUGAGGUAACGGCUCACCAAGGCGACGAUGCGUAGCCGACCUGAGAGGGUGAUCGGCCACACUGGGACUGAGACACGGCCCAGACUCCUACGGGAGGCAGCAGUAGGGAAUCUUCCGCAAUGGGCGAAAGCCUGACGGAGCAACGCCGCGUGAGUGAUGAAGGUUUUCGGAUCGUAAAGCUCUGUUGCCAGGGAAGAACGUCUCUUAGAGUAACUGCUAAGAGAGUGACGGUACCUGAGAAGAAAGCCCCGGCUAACUACGUGCCAGCAGCCGCGGUAAUACGUAGGGGGCAAGCGUUGUCCGGAAUUAUUGGGCGUAAAGCGCGCGCAGGCGGUCAUUUAAGUUGGGUGUUUAACCCCAGGGCUCAACCCUGGGUCGCACCCAAAACUGGAUGACUUGAGUGCAGAAGAGGAGAGUGGAAUUCCACGUGUAGCGGUGAAAUGCGUAGAGAUGUGGAGGAACACCAGUGGCGAAGGCGACUCUC